AUGGUGGAGGGCUCCACCUCCGACAUCGCCAACCUAAAGUUCCUCCUCUGCUUCCAACAAAUGUCGGGGCUCACGAUCAACUUUGAUAAGAGCAAAGUGACGAUUUUGGGCUACCCCCCUGAGGAGGCCUAGGCUAUUGCCGACCGUCUGAACUGUCGGCUGGGUUCCUUCCCCACCACCUACCUGGGGAUCUCCAUUAGCGACUCUAGACUGACCGUGGCCGACCUCCGCCCUGCAGUCACUAGGAUGCAGCACCGGGUGGAACCGUGGCGGGGCAGGUGGCUUUCGAAAGCUACCAGGGCGAUUCUCAUCAACUCCUCGCUGUCCGGCCUCCUAUGGUUUCUCAUGAGCUUCGAUAGCCUCCACGAGACCCUUCAUCAGGAGAUUGCCAAAUACCAGUCCCGGUUCUUCUGGGCUGGCGAGGGGGAUAAGUAG
rnacentral:rRNA from 1 species